GAUGAGAGAAGGGAAAAUGGUUCUGAGUCAGACAUUUCUCUAAAACAACAGUUCUAAGCGAUGGCAACCGAUGUGCUCACUGAGGGGCCUGAAGGACUGGAACCUGCGCUCUGCCCUCACAUGUUCUGGCAAAACUCCUGAGAGGUGAUGGAAGUCCUGGCCUGUCAGAACUUGUUCUUUGUGACAACAGGGCUGACACAUACUCUUCAAAUAUUUUGGUUUUCUAUUUCUUAAAAUUCUCUAAAUUUAAAGGAAGCAAACAUGGGUUAUCAGACUGCUGCAGGAAGCACCUUACCUACCAAACUGUCUCACCUGCACUGAAUCCGCAGAUAUUUCUGAGAUGAAUGCACUAUGAAGGGAAAGUCAUUGAAGCCUCCUUCAGACCUCUGGUUCAGUUGUUCCACUCUGAACAUCCGAGCCUUCUUCUCUGGUCCAAUCAAAGCACCACUUUUCCUUUAUUUUAUUCUGAUGCCUACACACAAACUCCAAGAUAUUAUACUCUUGUAAGUAUACUUAGAUAUUUAUAUUCACCCCCCCUCAUUUGAUUUGGAGUCUUUAUUCAUAAUUAAAGGGAUUUAACUACAGAA